UACGGGGGGGGCAAGCGUUGUUCGGAAUUAUUGGGCGUAGAAGGCUCGUAGGCGGUCUGUCACGUCGGGAGUGAAAACUCAGGGCUUAACCCUGAGCCUGCUUCCGAUACGGGCAGACUAGAGGUAGGUAGGGGAGAACGGAAUUCCUGGUGUAGCGGUGAAAUGCGCAGAUAUCAGGAGGAACACCGGUGGCGAAGGCGGUUCUCUGGGCCUUACCUGACGCUGAGGAGCGAAAGCGUGGGGAGCGAACAGG
rnacentral:rRNA from 1 species